rnacentral:rRNA from 1 species
AUUGAACGCUGGCGGAAUGCUUUACACAUGCAAGUCGAACGGCAGCACGGGGGCAACCCUGGUGGCGAGUGGCGAACGGGUGAGUAAUACAUCGGAACGUGCCCAGUCGGGGGGGAUAACGUAGCGAAAGUUACGCUAAUACCGCAUACGAUCUACGGAUGAAAGCGGGGGACCGUAAGGCCUCGCGCGAUUGGAGCGGCCGAUGUCAGAGUAGGUAGUUGGGGAGGUAAAGGCUCACCAAGCCGACGAUCUGUAGCUGGUCUGAGAGGACGGCAAGCCCAACUGUGACUGAGACACGGCCCAGACUCCUGCGGGAGGCAGCAGAGGGGAAUUGUGUGCAAUGGGCGCAAGCCUGAUCCAGCCAUUCCGGGUGCAGGGCGAAAGCCUUCGGGUUGAAACCUGCUUUUGUACGGAACAAAAAGGCUCUGGUUAAUACCUGGGGCUCAUGACGGUACCGUAAGAAUAAGCACCGGCUAGCUACGUGCCAGCCGCCGCCGUAA